UAGGGAAUAUUGGUCAAUGGACGGAAGUCUGAACCAGCCAUGCCGCGUGCAGGACGAAGGCCCUCUGGGUUGUAAACUGCUUUUGUAUAGGAAGAAACCCUCCGACGUGUCGGAGGCUGACGGUACUAUAAGAAUAAGGAUCGGCUAACUACGUG
rnacentral:rRNA from 1 species